ACGAGACAAAAACGAAUUGAACAAUAUUUGAUUUAACCCCAGUGAGUGCAAGGCCUAAAAACGACAUCGCCAAGCCAACUGUUUCAACCUCAACCUUGCUUCCUCACUUCUCCCGAAUGCCGAACAGCAACAUCAGCGUCCGUCAUGUCCGCCGUCCGCCACCACCACUUCGCCGAUGACGUCAACAGGUCACCGCCGCCUGCACCAAUGUUUACGUUCUGCAGCUCCCGGCCGGCUCCAGCCAAGCAGAAGACGCCCGGAGUGUGUGACCCUAAUUUUCAAGAGCAGAACAUAGUACGUCAUGGAAAUAGAAGAAAAUGGUGAAUGAAGAAACAUGAAGGUUCGGGGUUUCUGGUGUAACAUGCUAGAAAGCAG